rnacentral:lncRNA from 1 species
AAUCAUGUAAUAUCUAUAUAGAUUAAGCCCUAAUGGAUCAUUUUCCCUAAGUUUUAUAAUAUUCGGUCAGGGCGGUGAAAGGCAAUCGAAUACACAAAUGAAAAAGUAAAAGAUGAAUUAUUGUAGGUGAAAAUGAGAUUUCUUUUCAUUUUUAAUGGUAAUUUUAUUAAGGAUUAAUGUUUUAAAAGAUCCAACUUAUUAGGCCUUCGUCAAAAAUAAUACAACUUAUUGAAAAUAUUUUUUUGACACAAAUUUUUAAUUAAUUUUAAUGAAAAAUAGUUAAUAUCGACUUGACCAUCAAUUUAGUCAAACUUAAUGAUGUGUCUGCUGACUUGUCUUCGGCUCCACAUCACAUUAUACACUUAUUUUAAUUAAAAACAACUAAAAAAACAUCACAUUCCUAUUAAGCGCCGCCUCCUCCGCCACCGAUGGCUUCUGCCGCCGCCGCCGCACCACUGCAGCAUGCCCAAUCACGAAAUCAAACUACACCAUAACAUCGAAUCAAUUCCCUGACACUGAAGCAUCCCGGAACAAAUAAAACCAAUCAACAAAGUUUACAAUCCAAAGACCUAAACUACUAAAGCUUACCAAAUCGAAAGAAUUGCAGAAUUCGAAAAUAAAAAAUUUGAGCAAAAACUCGAUUCACCAGCCAUGAUUUCAACGGAAUCGACGACAGCCAUGAUUUUAACGGAUUCACAAGCCAUGAUUUCAACGGAUUCGACGGCAGAUCGAAGCACCUCUCCGAGAGAGAGAUCAACACGAAUCGACGGUCACUUGCUCUCCCUCAGCGGAAUCGACGAUGGAACUUUUUAAAAUUGAAGAAGGCGAAAAGAAAAGGUGAGUGGGGAGAGGUAGAGGGGUAGCGGGAGAUGGCGGUGGGGAAGCAGGUGGGAGGAUGAGUUGAAGGAGAUGAUGGAGAGGGAGGAGCGGAUGGAGGAGAUAGUGGAGAGGGAAGGUGAGAGUAUCUGGGUACGAAGAGGUGAUGAAGAGAUUGGGUGAGAGAAGGGGAUAUUAUUCCUUUUUUACUUUUCCGUUUGUUUUAAUAUAAGUAUUUUUAUUCCAUGUCAGAUAUUUUAUUAUUUAUUUAUCC